rnacentral:misc_RNA from 1 species
CCAAUAGCGUAUAUUAAAGUUGUUGCAGUUAAAAAGCUCGUAGUUGAAUUUCGAGAUCAAAUUGUUGGUCGUGCCUUGGUACGCACUGGCAUUAUUGGUUUCUCCCUUCUGAAGAACCAUGAUGUCAUUAAUUUGGUGUCUUGGGGAAUCAGGACUGUUACUUUGAAAAAAUUAGAGUGUUUAAAGCAGGCUCGCGCUUGAAUACAUUAGCAUGGAAUAAUGAAAUAGGACGUUUGAUUCUAUUUUGUUGGUUUCUAGGAUCGACGUAAUGAUUAAUAGGGAUAGUUGGGGGCAGUAGUAUUCAAUUGUCAGAGGUGAAAUUCUUGGAUUUAUUGAAGACUAACUACUGCGAAAGCAUUUGCCAAGGAUGUUUUCAUUAAUCAAGAACGAAAGUUAGGGGAUCGAAGACGAUCAGAUACCGUCGUAGUCUUAACCAUAAACUAUGCCGACUAGGGAUCGGAUGAUGUUAAUUUUUUAAUGACUCAUUCGGCGCCUUACG